rnacentral:rRNA from 1 species
CAGCAGUCGCCACGGUAAUACAGAGGGUGCAAGCGUUAAUCGGAUUUACUGGGCGUAAAGGGCGCGUAGGUGGUUAUUUAAGUGAGAUGUGAAAGCCCCGGGCUUAACCUGGGAACUGCAUCUUAUACUGGGUAACUGGAGUGCAGUAGAGGGUAGUGGAAUUUCCGGUGUAGCGGUGAAAUGCGUAGAUAUCGGAAGGAACACCAGUGGCGAAGGCGGCUACCUGGACUGAGACUGACACUGAGGCGCGAGAGCGUGGGGAGCAAACAGGAUUAGAUACCCCCGUAGUCCCUGUCUCUUAUAC